GGUAAACGCUGGCGGCGUGCCUAAAACAUGCAAGUCGCACGGACCUUUCGGGGUCAGUGGCAGACGGCUGAGUAACGCGUGGGUGACGUACCUGUUGGUGGGGAAUAACUGCACGAAAGGGUGGCUAAUACCGCAUACGCCUGCAUCUGCGUUGGUGUAGGGAAAGCAGCAAUGUGCCAAUGGAGCGGCCCGCGUCCGAU
rnacentral:rRNA from 1 species